rnacentral:misc_RNA from 1 species
CUUUUCAAAUAUUCAACCUUUCAGACUACAUUUAUUGGCUAGAUUACUGUAAUCCAAUUACUUUGCAGUACUUCCAUUGCAUGCCUAUAUAAUAGAGGGGUUCAUUAUAUAUUAACAAGGGCACAGUAAACUCAAAUAUUAUAUCAGUGAACGCAUCUCUGAGGAAAUUAGUGGUAAAACCUGUAGACUCGAAGUACAUCAGCUGAGAAACACGAUGACAGACUGGCACAAGAAAAUCAAGAAUUAUUUGGGUGAGGGUACCUAUGAGUGUACAUUGGAUGACAAAGUGUUUAAGAAGGCAGUUAAAGAGUUGAAUGAGGACCCCAAACAACGAGCCUUACAGAUAGAGGCCCUCAGACAAUGGGUUAUUCAACAACCACAUUUGAGAAAUACCAGAACAGAUGACAUAUUCUUGUUGCGGUUUUUACGCCAUGCCAAAUUCAGUCAACUUAAAGCACAGAAGACUCUGGACAACUUCUGGACCGUUCGGACAGUGGAAGGAAAAGGCGCCCCAGAAUGGUUUAAAAAUAUGGACCCCAAGGAUCCUAAAAAUGAAGAAAUAUUGGACAUUGGGAUGCAGGUGCCCCUACCUGGGAGAGAUGACAAUGGGAGGAAAGUCAUUCUGGUGAGAACAGGUGGCUAUGACCCAUACAAACAUGACUUUGGCUUCACAUUGAAGACAGGAUUUAUGAUGAAUGAUAUCCUCCUAUUGGAUGAAGAGAACCAGGUCCAUGGAUUUGUUAUUCUCCUAGAUUUCUCAGAGUUUGGAGUGGCUCAUGCAACAAAUUGGAACAGGGAAAUCAUUGGAAAGGCAAUGAAAUGUUGGCAGGAUGUGUACCCAACAAGGAACAAAGGAGUCCACUACUACAACACACCAACAUUAUUCAAUGCUCUUAUGGAAAUUUUCAGAUUUUUUAUGAAGGAUAAAAUGAAAAACCGAACGAAGUUCCACUGGGCCAGUUUGGAAUCACUCCACAAAGACAUACCGAAGCGUAUGCUACCUGAUUACCUAGGGGGCGAGGCUGGCACCCUGGAAGAUCUUAAAAAAAGUUGGAAAGCUGAAGUUAUGGCCAACAGGGAAGAAUUACUGUUGAAUGGCAAGUAUAGUGUGGAUGAAUCAAAGCGACCAAGUGAUGAUGGAACACUCGGAUUACAAGGUUCCUUCCGCAAACUUGCGGUAGACUAAUGCAUUCUGGGAUUAUUUCAAACUAGACAAUCAGCAGUGCAGUGAUGAACUAUAUGUUAAUGUACAUUGUCGUAGCGGCAAUAAAAGGAUGGAAUUGUGUUUUAAGUGGUGCACUCAACUAAAUUGAACAAUUUGCAUCUGUUAUACAUCACAUCAGUAAGCAGUUACCCAGACUGCUUGUACUUCUCAGCAUACCAUAACAUCCUUAUUCUCUGUAUUAAAGCCGCUUUAUACUAUUAUAGAAGUAUGAGAAGUCUGUUAUGGGAUCAUUGACAUAUUCUUGCGUUAUUAGACUUAUAAUACAGAUUGGAGACUCCAUCAUGGAACAUGCCAAUAGAACUUGCUAUAAAAUAUGCCAUAGAACAUACUUAGAACUUGUUAUCCAGGAAUGCUUGACUGCAUCUGACUCUAAUGAUCUCAUCUGAAAGAUUUUAAAAGUCAUAGAGUUAUAAGAUGGACUGGUCACUCUAUUUAAAAUAGAAAUUACCCAGAAAUUAAACUUUGUUUCCCAGACUUCCAGAAUUUUAGCCUGGAAAAAUUGGAAAACAUAACUUAACAGGGUGAAAAAUUGCAGAAACCUGGAUGCAAUCAUAAUGUACUUUCUAUAAUGAAUGUAUUCUGAAAAUGUACCAGAAUAUUUUUUAUUAAUUGUUAUGUAUAUUAAAAUGCUUUCAGUUUACUCACAAAACUCAACAUUUUACUUUACUCAUUUCUUGGGUUUUCGUUAUGUCCCCACCACAAGUGAUGACAUAUACAGUUAUAGGCUUCAACUUUUAUGUGGAUGAUGUUUGGCAUCUGGCGUCCAGAAAUCGG